UACGUAGGGUGCGAGCGUUGUCCGGAAUUAUUGGGCGUAAAGAGCUCGUAGGCGGUGUGUCGCGUCGAUCGUGAAAACUUGGGGCUUAACCCUGAGCUUGCGGUCGAUACGGGCAUCACUGGAGUUCGGCAGGGGAGACUGGAAUUCCUGGUGUAGCGGUGAAAUGCGUAGAUAUUGGGAGGAACACCGGUGGCGAAGGCGGCCCUCUGGACCGGUACUGACGCUGAUGCGCGAAAGCGUGGGUAGCAAACGGG
rnacentral:rRNA from 1 species